rnacentral:rRNA from 1 species
AUGGAGGGCCAGAGUUUCACUAUUCAUUUUGUCAUGCAUGCUCAAAACAAAACCAAAAGAUAUCAUCGGAUUGUAGCACUGCAGGAGAUCUUGCAGCUUCCGCUCAUCGGCGAUCUUAAUGGAGUGGCUACACAAAAUAUCCAGAUAAACAUGAAGAGUCUAUUCUCCAAUUUCAGUUUUUUUGAAGAACCAAGAAUGGCAAGUACAACUCAACUUCGAAUUUUUUCUUUGUUACGAAUGCAAAACAUAAAAUCAUCUGAGGAGGGAAUUUCUAGACAAGGUACAACCUAUAGGUAUAAGCCUUUCAAAAAAGUUAUCAUGCCAGUAUAA